rfam:Gossypium arboreum cultivar AKA8401 contig_2706_7, whole genome shotgun sequence.
AACCCAUGGUGAGGGCACCUUCUCAAUAGAUCCUUGUAUCUUUCGCAUGCAUCAUAGUGUGUUUCUAGAUCCAUCUGCACAAAAGAAGAGAUAUCAUUCCUCAAAUU